GACGAACGCUGGCGGCGUGCUUAACACAUGCAAGUCGAACGGAAAGGCCCUGCUUUUGUGGGGUGCUCGAGUGGCGAACGGGUGAGUAACACGUGAGUAACCUGCCCUUGACUUUGGGAUAACUUCAGGAAACUGGGGCUAAUACCGGCUAGGAGCUCCUGCUGCAUGGUGGGGGUUGGAAAGUUUCGGCGGUUGGGGAUGGACUCGCGGCUUAUCAGCUUGUUGGUGGGGUAGUGGCUUACCAAGGCUUUGACGGGUAGCCGGCCUGAGAGGGUGACCGGCCACAUUGGGACUGAGAUGCGGCCCAGACUCCUACGGGAGGCAGCAGUGGGGAAUAUUGCACAAUGGGCGGAAGCCUGAUGCAGCAACGCAGCGUGCGGGAUGACGGCCUUCGGGUUGUAAACCGCUUUCGCCUGUGACGAAGCGUGAGUGACGGUAAUGGGUAAAGAAGCACCGGCUAACUACGUG
rnacentral:rRNA from 1 species